AUUGAACGCUGGCGGCAUGCCUUACACAUGCAAGUCGAACGGCAGCACGGGAGCAAUCCUGGUGGCGAGUGGCGAACGGGUGAGUAAUAUAUCGGAACGUGCCCAGUCGUGGGGGAUAACGUAGCGAAAGCUACGCUAAUACCGCAUACGAUCUAUGGAUGAAAGCGGGGGAUCGCAAGACCUCGCGCGAUUGGAGCGGCCGAUAUCAGAUUAGGUAGUUGGUGAGGUAAAGGCUCACCAAGCCGACGAUCUGUAGCUGGUCUGAGAGGACAACCAGCCACACUGGGACUGAGACACGGCCCAGACUCCUACGGGAGGCAGCAGUGGGGAAUUUUGGACAAUGGGCGCAAGCCUGAUCCAGCAAUGCCGCGUGCAGGAUGAAGGCCUUCGGGUUGUAAACUGCUUUGUACGGAACGAAACGGUGAGCUCUAAUACAGUUUGCUAAUGACGGUACCGUAAGAAUAAGCACCGGCUAACUACGUG
rnacentral:rRNA from 1 species